CGCUGUCACUCCUACGGGAGGCAGCAGUGGGGGAAUAUUGGACAAUGGGCGAAAGCCUGAUCCAGCCAUGCCGCGUGUGUGAAGAAGGUCUUCGGAUUGUAAAGCACUUUAAGGUUGGGAGGAAGGGCAGUUACCUAAUACGUGAUUGUUUUGACGUUACCGACAGAAUAAGCACCGGCUAACUCUGUGCCAGCAGCCGCGGUAAUACAGAGGGUGCAAGCGUUAAUCGGAAUUACUGGGCGUAAAGCGCGCGUAGGUGGUUAGUUAAGUUGGAUGUGAAAUCCCCCGGGCUCAACCUGGGAACUGCAUUCAAAACUGACUGACUAGAGUAUGGUAGAGGGUGGUGGAAUUUCCUGUGUAGCGGUGAAAUGCGUAGAUAUAGGAAGGAACACCAGUGGCGAAGGCGACCACCUGGACUGAUACUGACACUGAGGUGCGAAAGCGGUGGGGAGCAAACAGGAUUAGAUACCCUGGUAG
rnacentral:rRNA from 1 species